rnacentral:rRNA from 1 species
UACGAAGGUCCCAAGCGUUAUCCGGAUUUAUUGGGUUUAAAGGGUGCGUAGGCGGGUUAUUAAGUCAGUGGUGAAAGCCUACAGCUUAACUGUAGAACUGCCAUUGAUACUGAUGAUCUUGAGUACGAUUGAGGUAGGCGGAAUGUGUCAUGUAGCGGUGAAAUGCUUAGAUAUGACACAGAACACCGAUUGCGAAGGCAGCUUACUAAGUCGUAACUGACGCUGAUGCACGAAAGCGUGGGGAGCAAACAGG